rnacentral:rRNA from 1 species
GCGUUGUCCGGAAUCAUUGGGCGUAAAGCGCGCGUAGGCGGCCCAGUAAGUCCGUUGUGAAAGUCAAAGGCUCAACCUUUGAAAGCCGAUGGAUACUGCUGGGCUCGAGUCCGGAAGAGGCGAGUGGAAUUCCUGGUGUAGCGGUGGAAUGCGCAGAUAUCAGGAGGAACACCAAUAGCGAAGGCAGCUCGCUGGGACGGUACUGACGCUAAGGCGCGAAAGCGUG